UACUAUCCAAUCAAAGCUCCUUCCCCAACAAGAACUCUUUAAGUUUUUCUUGCCCAUGCCCAUACCAUCUCAAUAAUUUUUUUUUCACUGAUUAAGACAACUCGUGCACCUUUUCUCAUGUAUUCAUAGCUCUCCUUAUCUUCCCCAUUCUCAGCACAAAUUCACAGCAUCCACACCCAUGUUAUUGUUCAUCUUUUGUGCUUGGACCCUCUUAUUCCCAACAUUCUAAUGCAUACAGCACUAGAACCUCUAUUUUAUAUUGUAAUGUUUUCUCCAGAAGCAUGUAUUGCUUCUGACACUCCCAAAAAUAUCUCUCAACUUCAUCCACCUAAUCUAAUUCUAUCAAUAUAUAUUCAUCUUUAUCCUCAUUGUUUAGAAAUAUGAAUUCAAGAUAACAAUAGCAAGCACGCCGUAUGGUCUCUUAGACGUCAUUUUUGACUAUGGCUCACUUUCCUUUUAUAUUUCUCCAAACUACAUGUCUUUUC
rnacentral:lncRNA from 1 species